rnacentral:rRNA from 1 species
AUACGAAGGGGGCUAGCGUUGUUCGGAAUUACUGGGCGUAAAGCUCGUGUAGGCGGAUCGUUAAGUCAGGGGUGAAAGCCCGGGGCUCAACCCCGGAACUGCCCUUGAUACUGGCGAUCUAGAGUCCGGAAGAGGUGGGCGGAAUUCCCGGUGUAGAGGUGAAAUUCGUAGAUAUCGGGAGGAACACCAGUGGCGAAGGCGGCUCACUGGUCCGGUACUGACGCUGAGACGCGAAAGCGUGGGGAGCAAACAGGAUUAGAAACCCUAGUAGUCC